ACACGAGCGGCGAACGGGUGAGUAACACGUGGGUGAUCUGCCUCGCACUCUGGGAUAAGCCUGGGAAACUGGGUCUAAUACCGGAUAUGACCUUACAUCGCAUGGUGUUUGGUGGAAAGAUUUAUCGGUGCGAGAUGGGCCCGCGGCCUAUCAGCUUGUUGGUGGGGUAAUGGCCUACCAAGGCGACGACGGGUAGCCGGCCUGAGAGGGCGACCGGCCACACUGGGACUGAGACACGGCCCAGACUCCUACGGGAGGCAGCAGUGGGGAAUAUUGCACAAUGGGCGAAAGCCUGAUGCAGCGACGCCGCGUGAGGGAUGACGGCCUUCGGGUUGUAAACCUCUUUCGACAGGGACGAAGCGCAAGUGACGGUACCUGUAGAAGAAGCACCGGCCAACUACGUGCCAGCAGCCGCGGUAAUACGUAGGGUGCGAGCGUUGUCCGGAAUUACUG
rnacentral:rRNA from 1 species